GCCUUGGUGAUGUAGUGGUAGAGCACGCGUCCCCGGAAAGGAUAGAAUGCGGGUUCGAUUCCUGCCUGAGGCC